UCCCCAGGCGGGGUACUUAUUGCGUUAACUCCGGCACAGAAGGGGUCGAUACCUCCUACACCUAGUACCCAUCGUUUACGGUCAGGAUUACCGGGGUAUCUAAUCCCGUUCACUCCCCUGGCUUUCGCGCCUCAGCGUCAGACACAGUCCAGAAAGUCGCCUUCGCCACUGGUGUUCCUCCUAAUAUCUACGCAUUUCACCGCUACACUAGGAAUUCCACUUUCCUCUCCUGCACUCAAGAAAUGUAGUUUCCAUCCCAUCACGGGGUUGAGCCCCGAACUUUUAAGACAGACUUACAUUCCCGCCUGCGCGCGCUUUACGCCCAAUAAUUCCGGACAACGCUUGCCACCUACGUAUUACCGCGGCUGCUGGCACGUAGUUAGCCGUGGCUUCCUCCUCAGGUACCGUCAUUACUUAACAUUAUUCACAUUAAGCACAUUCGUCCCUGAAGACAGAGCUUUACGAUCCGAAAACCUUCUUCACUCACGCGGCGUUGCUCCGUCAGACUUUCGUC
rnacentral:rRNA from 1 species